rnacentral:rRNA from 1 species
GAUGAACGCUGGCGGCGUGCCUAAUACAUGCAAGUCGAGCGAACAGAUGAGGAGCUUGCUCCUCUGACGUUAGCGGCGGACGGGUGAGUAACACGUGGAUAACCUACCUAUAAGACUGGGAUAACUUCGGGAAACCGGAGCUAAUACCGGAUAAUAUAUUGAACCGCAUGGUUCAAUAGUGAAAGACGGUUUUGCUGUCACUUAUAGAUGGAUCCGCGCCGCAUUAGCUAGUUGGUAAGGUAACGGCUUACCAAGGCAACGAUGCGUAGCCGACCUGAGAGGGUGAGCGGCCACACUGGAACUGAGACACGGUCCAGACUCCUACGGGAGGCAGCAGUAGGGAAUCUUCCGCAAGGGGCGAAAGCCUGACGGAGCAACGCCGCGUGAGUGAUGAAGGUCUUCGGAUCGUAAAACUCUGUUAUUAGGGAAGAACAAAUGUGUAAGUAACUAUGCACGUCUUGACGGUACCUAAUCAGAAAGCCACGGCUAACUACGUG